rnacentral:rRNA from 1 species
UCGCGCAGCAGGACGGAAAGACCCCGGGACCUUUACUACAGUUUGAUAUUGGUGUUCGGUUCGGCUUGUGUAGGAUAGCUGGGAGACUUUGAAGCAUGCACGCCAGUGUGUGUGGAGUCGUCGUUGAAAUACCAGUCUGGUCGUGCUGGAUGUCUAACCUGGGUCCGUGAUCCGGAUCAGGGACAGUGUCUGAUGGGUAGUUUAACUGGGGCGGUUGCCUCCUAAAGAGUAACGGAGGCGCCCAAAGGUUCCCUCAGCCUGGUUGGCAAUCAGGUGUUGAGUGUAAGUGCACAAGGGAGCUUGACUGUGAGACCGACGGGUCGAGCAGGGACGAAAGUCGGGACUAGUGAUCCGGCGGUGGCUUGUGGAAGCGCCGUCGCUCAACGGAUAAAAGGUACCCCGGGGAUAACAGGCUGAUCUUCCCCAAGAGUCCAUAUCGACGGGAUGGUUUGGCACCUCGAUGUCGGCUCGUCGCAUCCUGGGGCUGGAGUCGGUCCCAAGGGUUGGGCUGUUCGCCCAUUAAAGCGGUACGCGAGCUGGGUUUAGAACGUCGUGAGACAGUUCGGUCCCUAUCCGCUGUGCGCGUAGGAAUAUUGAGAAGGGCUGUCCCUAGUACGAGAGGACCGGGACGGACGAACCUCUGGUGUGCCAGUUGUCCUGCCAAGGGCAUGGCUGGUUGGCUACGUUCGGGAGGGAUAACCGCUGAAAGCAUCUAAGCGGGAAGCCUGCUUCGAGAUGAGUAUUCCCACCUCCUUGAGAGGGUAAGGCUCCCAGUAGACGACUGGGUUGAUAGGCCAGAUAUGGAAGCCUGGUAACGGGUGGAGUUGACUGGUACUAAUAGGCCGAGGGCUUGUCCUCAGUUG